UCCCGGGGUGCGGAGUGGAUGGGAAUUUUGGAGCUCGAGUCACGCAAGGGGUGACUCCCGGGGAGUUAAGUGGAAGCUGCAGCCUAAGCCCUAGCACCCGGCGGUCAUGGGGCGGGGCUCUUGGGCUCAGGCGACGUGGCCAGACCCGGCCGCGGAGAAGCCGCUUGCGUGGGCUGGGGCCGGCCUUCCAGUAGGGGAAGCUGGCAGCGGGCCGGGAUGGAGAGGCUGGGUCGGCCACCCCGGCUCGGAGGCAUCCACGGAAUGUGGCGGCUCAGCACUCGCCCCCUCGGGAAUUCCCAACGGGAGCGACGAGGAGGAAACUGACGGUCCCCAAGCCCUGGACAGUCGCGCCUCGGUUUUCUCAGAGGGGCAAGAUUGAGGACUCCUUCCGCCCCCGAGCUGCAGACGUGAAAUCGGGCACACCUAGGGCCGGCGGCCCGGGCCGUCGCGGCCACAUCCGGAGCGACGCGCCUGAGUCAACCUCGGGACCCCACCCCCACUCGCGCCCGCCCGUCCAGCCCGUCAGCCCAGUGUCUCCAGUUCGCCUCUGUCAGCUCCCACCUCCACCCGAGCCGCGCGAGCCUCGCGGGGGCGGGGGGCGGACCAAGGGGGCGGGGCUGUUUCUUAAAGGGUCCCCAGCCACUGCCCUUAGGCCACUUCCUGGGAGCAGAGAGGACUUCGGCGGCUGCUGCGACACCCCCGUAAGACGGCGACUCCCGGGUUCCUAGACUCCCGGCCGCUUCCCUCAGAGUCCUCGGACCAUCGCAGCUUGGACUGAGAGUGCAUCCUCGUUCCCUAACCGAUAUAAAGGCACCUCCACCAUCAGCUCCAGGCAGCCCAGCCUCCAUCUCCUGGGACCCGCGCGGGAGCCAGGCCUCUGACCAGCCCCCGGAACCCUGAGUAGACUCGCCCACAGCGACAGCAAUCUGCCCAAGAACUCGGAAGCUGGACCCUUCAAAGAAUCGGCCUUGUGCUCGCCACCGUCACCUGCUGGUUGGAUUCCGGAAACCCACUUGUCUGAAGACCUCGGAAAGGAAUCGCUGAUCACCCAAAAUCGGAUGCGUCUGAACCUAAAACUCCCUUCCUUCUUGGGCUUCCCUGUGCUCUUUUCAUUCGUUCUCUCAACCUUUCAGGCGUUUCUGUGCCAGGCACCAUCCCCCACCAACAAAGUAGCUGGGUGAGCCCCAAAUCUUGCUGCCUUGUACUCCAAUCGGUGCCUCCAACUUAGAGUCUGAACUUUACAAUUCAAUUCUGCACACACUCAGGAAGCUCUGCCUUGUCUUCUCUUUUGGUGUCUCCAGUAGGCCCCAAAAUUUCCCCUCCUCCUGUGCCCUCUUCGCCCCCUUCCUUUGGGGGCCCUGUGACCCUGAAUGUGGGGGGCACGCUGUAUUCUACCACUUUGGAGACCCUGACUCGCUUCCCAGACUCCAUGCUGGGGGCCAUGUUUAGGGCUGGCACCUCCAUGCCCCCCAACCUCAACCCCCAGGGAGGUGGCCACUACUUCAUCGACAGAGAUGGCAAGGCCUUCCGGCACAUUCUCAAUUUCCUGCGGCUGGGCCGCCUGGACCUGCCCCUUGGGUAUGGGGAGACAGCACUUCUUAGGGCAGAGGCCGACUUCUACCAGAUCCGGCCCCUCCUAGAUGCCCUGCGGGAACUGGAGGCCUCGCGGAGGACCCCUGCACCCACAGCUGCCCUGCUUCACGCAGAUGUAGAUGCCAACCCCCGCCUGGUGCACUUCUCUGCUCGCCGGGGCCCACACCACUAUGAGCUGAGCUCUGUCCAGGUGGACACCUUCCGAGCCAACCUCUUCUGCACUGACCCAGAGUGUCUGGAUGCCAUGAGGGCCCGAUUUGGUGUGGCCAAUGAGGAGAGAGCAGAGGGAGGCCCACACUUUCGUUUGGAGUGGGCCCCCCGCCCCACAGAACUCCCUGAAGUGGAGUACAGGAGACUGGGGCUGCAGCCAUUGUGGACUGGGGGGCCAGGAGAACGACGGGAAGUGGUGGGCACACCGGGCUUCUUGGAGGAGGUGCUGCGGGUGGCUCUGGAGCAUGGCUUCCGUCUAGACUCUGUUUUCCCUGACCCUGAAGACCUGCUCAACUCCAGAUCUCUGCGCUUUGUCCGUCACUGAAAACCAAGAACUGGGAAUGCUCUCCUCCGUUUGACUGGGGGUUGGGGGAGAAAGGGAGCAGCAAAGGGGAUGAAGGCUCCCCUGAAGCCUCUUCCUAGCUCUGCUAUAGGAGCUGUGAGAGUCAGGGUUCCCACUGCACCAGAUUGGAGCCUACAAGUGGGCAGGACUCCCCAAACCCAAGCCCGCUGAGGGCUUGCAAGUGGUACAGAGGCUCUGGACUGGUGCUAAUCCUGGGAGGGGUGGGGAAAGUUCCCCUGGCUUGUUCUUGCCUUGAGACUGGGGACCUCCAGUAUUUCCUUGGUUAGAGUUCAGUAUUCAGGGGUCUGAAAAGUGGGGACACUUCUCUGCCCAGGCUAAGCCUAUCUAGCAGAACCCUGCAGGGACACUGAGGGUUGGGAGGAAGAGGGACUUUGCUCUAAUGUGACUUCUCCUCCUGGAGCUGGGUGGCCUGGCCUGACCAAUGACAGGCCAGAACACUCUGGAACAUGGGAAGAGAGAUUCUUUGCUGUGUCCCAAGCUACCUACGGAGGGAGACAGAAAGGCUACACCACACCCUAAGCUGGCAUAAGGUAGCUAGGAGAAUUCCCAUUAACUAUGGGGUAGAGCAUCCCUCUGGAGAUCCAAGUGUUUUAAAGGAUCCCAUAUUAAUGGUGGGGCUGGUCAUGGGGAGGAGGGUGGCAUCUUCUUGGGUCCUGGCCUUUCUUCCUUCAUGUGUGCGUGUGUUCUGCAUGUGUCUGACGGAUGUGGGGGUCUCUGACAUCCUGGCUCCCAUCUGUGUUUUUGGAGACCAUGUCUGUGUGCUGGUCUUUCUGUGGUCUCUGCAUGUCCAGGCCUGUUUGGGGUUGCCCAGCAACUGUUUGAGCACCAGGUGUGUCUGUGGUAUGGAUGUGAGUAAACUGAGAAUAAGUAGUUUAAUCACAAGGGAUGUGUGUGAAUGUGCAUUCGCAUCACCACAUAUGGGCCAGUUGGGGUUUGAAUCAUUAGGAUCUUCCUGGUGAAAGCUUCUCAGGCCUGUGUCUUCUGCCGUCUCCCAUCCCGACACUUAUCAGGCCGCCUGGCUCAACUCUGCAGCCAGAUGGGGGCCCCGUGGAAGGACUGUAAAGCCUCCUGGAACUUCUCAGCCUUUGCCUUAGGUAAGUCCAGAGACGGGCCUAGCCAUACUCACCCCCAUGCCCCAAGAAGGGCAACAUGUGGCUUCCCAGCUGUGCCCCUCAGCUGUCACCUCAGUCCAUAGCCCUUCCUGGACACACUGGCCUCUCUCUGAGAGAGCGUUUUGGAUCCUGGGAAAGUCAGGAAAGAUCCCAGAAUCUUCUGGGCUAAUAAGGGAAUCACUCACUGGUCCUUGCCCAUUUCCACAGAUGAAGUGUCCAUGAACAAAGUCACAGAGAAGACUCACAGAGUUCUGAGGGUCAUGGAGAUCAAAAAGUCUGUCUCC